rnacentral:lncRNA from 10 species
AAUGCUAAAGAUAAGUAAUAAUAGUAAAGUGGAUAGGAAAAACAGAAGCUGAAAAUAUGGGAAAGCAUCUUGAAUGUGACCUGGCCAGGACUGACCCUUGACCGAAUCGGUUUGGGGGUGGGAAAUGCGAGUGAAAAGGGGACAUUAAAUCUGUUAGACCACAGAACAGUCACUAAGUAUCGCAUUAUGGAGGAAGUUUUGCCAAGUGGUAACUGGACAGUUCACCAGUUGAGCUGAGAAAGGACAGCAUUAAUACACUUAUUCAUUGUAGGUGAUUGAAUGAAUACAUACAUGUAUGAAAUGAAUGAAAGGAUAAACAAAUGAAACAGCUGUUGUGGGGAUUAGAAAAGAUAUUAGAAAGAAGAUACAAAAUGAAUAAAUGAAUGGAGUUUUUAGAAAUCCAACCCAAAGUAUUGCAUUUGAGGGGAUAAGCUGCAAUAUACAAACGUAAAAGCUGCAAAGGAGAAUGAGAAUCUGAUCUGAAGGCUCUAAAGGUGUAAUUUUACCCGUCAGCACUUUUAGACUUAAUGAUCUGUGACAACAGAUCUUACUCUAAGAUACUAUAAACCUUGACAGAAAACAAAAGCUAACCAGUGACCUAAGUCUUUCUCUGUGUAUU